GUAAGUGAUAAUAAUCAACAUAAGUCAUCUUCAAGCCAUCUAGAGAAGAGACCCACCGCCUAGCAACAUGCCUUCAGAAACUCCAGACUGGGUUGGCUGAGUGACGGAGAGGGAGCUAGCAAGAGUGACACCAACAGGGGUCAUCUUGACACGGGAAGACAUCAGCAAAGUCAGAUGUGAUGAAGAGGUCUCAGAAGAUUCUUCAAUCCUCUUCUCCAGCUCCAGGACAGCCUCCUCCUUGUUUAAGAGCAUCUGCUGUGUCUGCGUGAGCUCUUCUGCUAAAGUCUUCAGCCUGGAAGGAGGAGCCACCAUUACCAACAACACACUAAAUGUGCUGAUCCGCACAUACACAAACUUAUGAAGUCGCAGAGGCCGAAAGAGCAGCCACCUGGAAUCUACUUUAAGGGGAUCCCUGUUUCAAAGAGUCCUUGAUGAAGGGCAUGGCAAACUGAAUACUGAGGAAGACGUGGAAAGAAGAAGCAGUGUUGCAGAGGUAGGCUGAGAGAGAAAGUCACGUUCAGGAAAAUGAAGAACGCACUCUUCAGAGAACUACAGUUCAUUGAAAGUCCUAGGGUCAAUCAACCGACACGUUUUGUGACUACUUGUUCCUUCCACCCACAGGAGUAAACUCCUGUAGGGAGCUGACGCCCAAAGACUUACGCUGCCCAGCCUUGAGUGGAAGUUAAGUGGCACUGCCACCUGAGGGAGACAGAAUGUAUAACUGGCCGACUGCUACCCUUCCUGUGACCACUUCAACAUCUGUGUUCAUUUUCUCUUUUGUUUCAAUUCACUGUUUUUAAAAGCUAGUUUGUUAUUUGAA